rnacentral:rRNA from 1 species
GGUACCCCACUGCUAUCGGGAUGGGACUAAGACAUGCUAGUUGUGCGUCUCUAAGCCAUGGUGAGACGCAGCGCACAGCUCAGUAACACGUGGCUAACCUGCCCUUGGGACGGGGACAACCCCGGGAAACUGGGGAUAAUCCCCGAUAGACGAGGACUCCUGGAAUGGAUCUUCGUUGAAAGGGUGUCUAGGGCAUGCUUCUAGGCGCUGCUCAAGGAUGGAGCCGCGGCCGAUCAGGUUGUUGGUGAGGUAACGGCUUACCAAGCCUUUAACCGGUACGGGCCGUGGGAGCGGUAGCCCGGAGAUGGGCACUGAGAUAAGGGCCCAGGCCCUACGGGGCGCAGCAGUCGCGCAAACUCCGCAAUACACGAAAGUGUGACGGGGCUAUCCCGAGUGCCGUCCGCUGAGGAUGGCUUUUCCACGCUGUAAGGAGGCGUGGGUAUAAGGAGAAGGCAAGACUGGUGUCAGCCGCCGCGGUAAUACCAGCUCUCCGAGUGGUGGGGGACGCUUAUUGGGCCUAAAAGCAUUCGUAGCCGGUUCGGCAAGUCCUCCCGUUAAAUCCAGCGAUUCAAUCGUUGGGACUGCGGGGGAUACUGCUGGGCUAGGGGGCGGGAGAGGGUCGACGGUAUCCUCGGGGUAGGGGUGAAAUCCUAUAAUCCCGGGUAGACCACCAGUGGCGAAGGCUGUCGGCUAGAACGCGCCCGACGGUGAGGGAUGAAAGCUGGGGGAGCGAACCGGAUUAGAUACCCGGGUAGUCCCAGCCGUAAACGAUGCAGGCUAGGUGUCGGGGCGGCUACGAGCCGCUUCGGUGCCGCAGGGAAACCGUUAAGCCUGCCGCCUGGGGAGUACGGCCGCAAGGCUGAAACUUAA